CCUACGGGAGGCUGCAGUGGGGAAUAUUGGGCAAUGGGCGCAAGCCUGACCCAGCAACGCCGCGUGAAGGAAGAAGGCUUUCGGGUUGUACACUUCUUUUAAGAGGGAAGUGCAGAAGACGGUACCUCUUGAAUAAGCUACGGCUAACUACGUGCCAGCAGCCGCGGCCAUACGUAGGUGGCAAGCGUUGUCCGGAUUUACUGGGUGUAAAGGGCGUGCAGCCGGGAAGACAAGUCAGUUGUGAAAUCUCGCGGCUCAACCGCGGAACUGCAUUUGAAACUGUGAUUCUUGAGUACAGUAGAGGUAAUCGGAAUUCCUGGUGUAGCGGUGAAAUGCGUAGAUAUAAGGAAGAACACCAGUGGCGAAGGCGGAUGACUGGAAGGCAACUGACGGUGAGGCGCGAAAGCGUGGGGAGCAAACAGGAUUAGAUACCCUUGUAGUC
rnacentral:rRNA from 1 species